rnacentral:rRNA from 1 species
CCCCUAGACGUUCUGGGCUGCACGCGCGCUACAAUAAUACGCACAGCGAGUAUCACCGAGCUCGAAAGGGCAAGGUAAACAAUAGAAAAGGUACUGUAAUGGUUAUAGAUCCUUGUAAUUAUUGAUCUUCAACGAGGAAUUCCUAGUAAGUAUGUGUCAUCAUCACGCACUGAUUACGUCCCUGCCCUUUGUACACACCGCCCGUCGCUCCUACCGAUUGAGUGAGCCGAUGAAACUGCCGGAUGUGGACUAUUCAUAGUCUGCAGAAGAUAUUUGAAUCGUAGCGCUCAGAGGAAGGAGAAGUCGUAACA